rnacentral:rRNA from 1 species
UACAGAGGUCUCAAGCGUUGUUCGGAUUCAUUGGGCGUAAAGGGUGCGUAGGCGGGCAGGUAAGUCCGUGGUGAAAUCUCUGAGCUUAACUCAGAAACUGCCAUGGAUACUAUUUGUCUUGAAUGUUGUGGAGGUAAGCGGAAUAUGUCAUGUAGCGGUGAAAUGCUUAGAUAUGACAUAGAACACCCAUUGCGAAGGCAGCUUACUACACAAAUAUUGACGCUGAGGCACGAAAGCGUGGGGAUCAAACAGG